rnacentral:misc_RNA from 1 species
UCCGGGUUUCUCCCGGCAGUCUCGUUAGAAAAGUACAACUAACGACAAGGGUUGCGCUCGUUGCGGGACUUAACCCAACACCUCACGGCACGAGCUGACGACAACCAUGCAGCACCUGUGCUAGCUCCCCGAAGGGUCCCUUCCCUUUCAGGUCGGUACCACUAGCAUGUCAAGCCCUGGUAAGGUUCUUCGCGUAGCGUCGAAUUAAACCACACGCUCCGCUGCUUGUGCGGGCCCCCGUCAAUUCCUUUGAGUUUUAGCCUUGCGGCCGUAGUCCCCAGGCGGGACACUUAUUGCGUUAGCUACGGCACAGAGGGGGUCGAUACCCCCCACACCUAGUGUCCAUCGUUUACAGCGUGGACUAC